CCUACGGGUGGCUGCAGUGGGGAAUAUUGGACAAUGGGGGGAACCCUGAUCCAGCCAUGCCGCGUGUGUGAAGAAGGCCCUCGGGUUGUAAAGCACUUUCAGUGAGGAAGAACGCCUGGUGGUUAAUACCCAUCAGGAAAGACAUCACUCACAGAAGAAGCACCGGCUAACUCCGUGCCAGCAGCCGCAGGUAAUACGGAGGGUGCGAGCGUUAAUCGGAAUUACUGGGCGUAAAGCGCGCGUAGGUGGCUUGAUAAGCCGGUUGUGAAAGCCCCGGGCUCAACCUGGGAACGGCAUCCGGAACUGUCAAGCUAGAGUGCAGGAGAGGAAGGUAGAAUUCCCGGUGUAGCGGUGAAAUGCGUAGAGAUCGGGAGGAAUACCAGUGGCGAAGGCGGCCUUCUGGACUGACACUGACACUGAGGUGCGAAAGCGUGGGUAGCAAACAGGAUUAGAUACCCUGGUAGUC
rnacentral:rRNA from 1 species